AGCCAAGUCCCAAGUGCUUGAAGACGAUCUGUUUAGCCUGAAAUGGCAGGAUGCAGCACAGAUCUUUACAAAGCAGGAUCCCUAAAACACAAGCGAUGGGAGAAUGAGGUAAUGUUUUACUUAUUAUUUUCAGGACUUGGCAUGUCUGUCACUAAUACAGUAACUUUCUUCCUUAAAUAUUUUCAGUGAGAAUGUAGAAAGCUAGUAUAUUUUUGUUUUGUUUUGGUUUUGGGUUUGUUUUUUUAAUUAUUAAUUUCAU
rnacentral:lncRNA from 1 species